UACGGGGGGGGCAAGCGUUGUUCGGAAUUACUGGGCGUAAAGGGCUUGUAGGCGGCCAACUAAGUCAGACGUGAAAUCCCUCGGCUUAACCGGGGAACUGCGUCUGAUACUGGAUGGCUAGAGUGUGGGAGAGGGAUGCGGAAUUCCAGGUGUAGCGGUGAAAUGCGUAGAUAUCUGGAGGAACACCGGUGGCGAAGGCGGCAUCCUGGACCACGACUGACGCUGAGUGAGCGAAAGCCAGGGGAGCAAACGGG
rnacentral:rRNA from 1 species